rnacentral:tRNA from 1 species
GGGGUAGUAACUCAGUGGUAGAGUGCUCGCUUCGCAUGCGAGAAGCCCAGGGUUCAAUCCCCUGCUGCUCCA